GACGUAGGGUGCAAGCGUUGUCCGGAUUUAUUGGGCGUAAAGAGCGUGUAGGCGGCCAGAUAAGUCCGCUGUGAAAUCUCGAGGCUCAACUUCGAGCUGUCGGUGGAAACUAUCUGGCUAGAGUCCGGAAGAGGAGAAUGGAAUUCCUGGUGUAGCGGUGAAAUGCGCAGAUAUCAGGAAGAACACCCGUGGCGAAGGCGGUUCUCUGGGACGGUACUGACGCUGAGACGCGAAAGCGUGGGGAGCGAACAGG
rnacentral:rRNA from 1 species